UACGGGGGGGGCAAGCGUUGUUCGGAAUUACUGGGCGUAAAGGGCGCGUAGGCGGCCAUCUAAGUCAGACGUGAAAUCCCCCGGCUCAACCUGGGGACUGCGUCUGAUACUGGAAGGCUAGAGUUUGGGAGAGGGAUGUAGAAUUCCAGGUGUAGCGGUGAAAUGCGUAGAUAUCUGGAGGAAUACCGGUGGCGAAGGCGGCAUCCUGGACCAAUACUGACGCUGAGGCGCGAAAGCUAGGGGAGCAAACGGG
rnacentral:rRNA from 1 species